AGGCCAGCUCCUGCUCAGAGUCCCCCGAUUCUGAGUCUGGAUCCCCAGGUAUGUCCCGUGGCUUAAGUGACUACAGCCUCACCAACGACAGAAGCCCUUGACUCGCUUGUCCUUUGAGAAUUCACCUUUGCUCUUUUCCCUAGGACUGACCCACAAUCAGUCCUUAAGGACAAGGCAGUAGGUUAUCUCAAACCUUGGACUGCAAAGACUUCAGAAAUCCUCUGGCUUGAGCAGAGGUUAUGUUUGCUUGCUCCUUUUCCUCCGUUCAUGGUUGAUGAGCCGUGUGGCCAAGAGCUUCUAAGUACCGGGUGAGCUUUGAAGGACUACAGCAGGGAGUUUGUAUGAAGUUGUCACUGGGAAUAACUGAGACCCAGUAGUUCUCCGGCCAUGCCUGUCAAAUUCGGACAAGCUGGAGCUAGCAGCUUGUGAAUGAAUUUUGGAGGAACAAGACUAAGGGCAGAAAAACAAGACAAAAGAUGAUAAAGGGCUUUCUGCUCAUUCACCAUCAAGAGGACAUAACUACUCUACUGAGGCAGAAGAAAAGUGUAUCCGGAGUCUUGCAACAAAGGGCACAGUCUUUUAUAGAUGUUUCUAGAGAAAAGGAAAGAUACACAACUUGAAAUAAAGAUAUUUAAAAAUG